AAAAAAAUCUUUAAAAGGAUUUACAAAAAGAAAAAAAAAAAGAUAUUUAAAGGAUUAAAAAAAAAAAAGAUGCAGAAAAAAAAAAUAUUUUAAAUGAUUGGAAUGACUGAAAAUUAUUUAUUUGCUUUUCUGUCACAAAAACAUUUUACAUUUAUGUUUACCUGAGAUCUGAAUGUCUUUACAAUGGCAUUCUUUCAGGACAAACAAAUAAUGUCAACUGCACUUGCAGGCAACGUUUACAAUUUGUUGCAAGAACUCCUGAUUCCUGCCUUUUUAUGCAAUGAUGAGCAUUUAACUUCCCAUCUUACCUUAUUACUAACUGCUGGGACAGAACUCUACAACACAUUUUUGUUUUAUUGUUACAACUUGAUUGUAAGAACAUUUAUAUGGGAAAGAAUCAACAUGAUGGCAGUAAAGUCCUUUAACUUCUGGACCAAAAGGUUUCAUGUUAGCAUCAUUCUGAUGGUUACAAGAUUUAUUUAAUAUAAUUCGAUUGUCUGAAAUGCUAACACAAAACCCAAAAUGAUUAGUACUGCACUAGAAACACGCAAUAUAUUUAUACAUCUCUGUACAUAUGCUAAAGAAGACAUAGUUUCUUCAGUUUAAAUUUUUUUAUAUAUAUAUUUUUUUUUUUUUU